GACAGAGGGUGCAAACGUUGCUCGGAAUUACUGGGCGUAAAGCGUGCGCAGGCGGUUCUCCAAGUCCGUUGUGAAAGCCCCGGGCUCAACCUGGGAAUGGCAGUGGAAACUAGGGGACUGGAAUCUGGCAGAGGGGGGUGGAAUGCCGCGUGUAGCAGUGAAAUGCGUAGAGAUGCGGCGGAACACCGAUGGCGAAGGCAGCCCCCUGGGCUGAGAUUGACGCUCAGGCACGAAAGCGUGGGGAGCAAACAGG
rnacentral:rRNA from 1 species